AUCCCGGGGAGGCUCCUCCCGCCGUGCUCAGCAGCACCCCCCCCCCCCGGGCUCUCCGCCUGGGCGGGCUCCCCUCCGGUCUCAGCGCUCCCUUGGUUCAACCCCGGCCGAGGAGCGGGUUCGUGCCCGGCUCCACCACUCGGUGGCCUGGGCGCUGCCCGCGGGGUUUCCCCGGCCCGCUGGUGCCAGGGGAGCGAGCCGCUGCGGCGCUCAAGCGCUGGGCAGCCCGGGCGCGUCUCAGCAGCGAGGCUGGACUCAGUGGGAGCGGGGCUUUGUUCGGGCGCGGCGAGCUUGGCCAGCGUUUAUACCGCGCUGGGGUCCGGGAGAUAGAACACAGCGAGCGUCUGACCCGCCUAAGGCUUCUUCGUGCAACCUGGGGCCGUUAUCCCGUGUCAGUGUGUCCCGGUGGAGCCAGCCCCGCCGCCCCGCUCCUUUCCCCCGGGAUUACGGGCCUGGAGGCGGCAGAAAGAGGACCUAACCCGGAGGACGAAGUCAUUGAUGAAGAAUGGAGUUAGACGACAAUGUUGAGCCCACAACAGGGUCGCCUGGUGGAGCAGGCAGCCAGGAACGGUUUACCACUCUAGAGAUGUCUAGCCAGUCUCAGCAGUUGCUCUCAGGUGAGCAAGAAGGAGAGGAGAAGCCUGAUGUGGCCUUACAGACACCCCACCCACACCAGCAGAGUGUCUCCGCGAGAUAAGAAAGCGCCCAAGACGGAGCAAAGAAGACAUGUUCCGGGAGCAGGGCCGGAUUAACUCUUUUGUGGGCCCGGGGCUAUUAGAUUUUGUGGGGCCCCUGUAUACCAGUCU